GAUGAACGCUGGCGGCGUGCCUAAACAUGCAAGUCGAGCGAACAGACGAGGAGCUUGCUCCUCUGACGUUAGCGGCGGACGGGUGAGUAACACGUGGAUAACCUACCUAUAAGACUGGGAUAACUUCGGGAAACCGGAGCUAAUACCGGAUAAUAUAUUGAACCGCAUGGUUCAAUAGUGAAAGACGGUUUUGCUGUCACUUAUAGAUGGAUCCGCGCCGCAUUAGCUAGUUGGUAAGGUAACGGCUUACCAAGGCAACGAUGCGUAGCCGACCUGAGAGGGUGAUCGGCCACACUGGAACUGAGACACGGUCCAGACUCCUACGGGAGGCAGCAGUAGGGAAUCUUCCGCAAUGGGCGAAAGCCUGACGGAGCAACGCCGCGUGAGUGAUGAAGGUCUUCGGAUCGUAAAACUCUGUUAUUAGGGAAGAACAAAUGUGUAAGUAACUAUGCACGUCUUGACGGUACCUAAUCAGAAAGCCACGGCUAACUACGUG
rnacentral:rRNA from 1 species